GGCAAGAGAUCGCGGCGCGGGGAGGGGGUAGGUUUCGCGCAGGGAAAGUGGCGAAGGGGAAACUCGCCUGCACCGGGCAGACCGAUCGAGCUCGACAACAGCUAGUUCAACGCGUGCCAACCCUCUCUCGAGAUGCGGUCUUCUCGUGUUGAGUAAACGCGGUAUCCUUCGGUCCAUAUCGUUAACACCAUGCAUCUCGGUGAUUCCUUUUUUCUUCUUUUUUUUCUUUUAACGAUGUCCCCGAGGGAAGGAAAAAGUGUACAGGUGACGUUGAAAGUGAUCAAUCAGUGUCUGCCGUUUAGACCGUUUAAGAUCGCGAUGAUUAUCGUUUCGCGAUCGGAUGAUGGGGAAGCUGUCGGAGGAGGAGGUUUAACGCGGAGGCGUUUGGAUGGCUCGUUACCGCCCAAGAUCGUUCAAAAUUCCUUGGUUCGUAUAAUUAUAUCUGUCAUAUACCUUCAAAGUGGUCUGUGAAAGAGUAUACGGGCAAAGACAGUUGAAACGGAUAGCGCGAUUAGGUUUAUUUGGAUGGUACUCGGGAUCACGUGGUCGAGUGACGGGAAUAGUGGUCAACUAACGAUAUGCGAGCUUUGAUGUUUAGACCUCAUGGUGAACGUUUGGCUGUAAAUGUUCAUCAAGGGCCGUAUAGUUGACACAGAAUCUAUUUCCAUGCCCUGCUAUCGGUUUUAGAGUCUACAGCCUACUCGAGUUUACGAUGCUACACGGGAAGAUCUAGAGGCAGCAACUUGAAAAAUAAAAGGAAUAAAACGAAAAUUGCGGUGCUGAUCAGACCACGGUCGAUGAAUCCGGGAAACGUUUAAUAGUGUGAAUAAAUGUUGUCCCUCCGAUAGUAAUUUCGUCGGAACGAAACUAGCCGUGUUAUCGUCGCACAGUUGAAAGUGGUCGUGUGUAUUCUUGGCAGUCUGCAGUGAUAAGCUCGUUAUUUUAGAUAUAAAUAAACCGCGUGACAAACACAUCCAGCACCGAUGAUAGUAUAAUACGAUAAAAACGUUUUCCAGCAAUCAAGAAUUGAAACUCUAUGUGUCGAACGUCUCCAGUAUCCACGAUAACUUGGGCAAACUGAAUUCUAAGUCGCUCGAUAACAGUAGAGUCACCGGAAUGAAUUCCGCCAGAUCCAAACUCAUUGAUCCCAAUUGUACCCUUCUUCGUUCCCUCUGCGUCAUUACAUUCCACCGAGUGUAUCACCAGCAAAAAUGAGUGGAUGUUUGUUAAAAAUAAAAAAAAGUAUAAAAAGUUGAUCAAUUUCAAACAACUUAAACAGAAUAGUUCAACACGAUUUCAAAUCACCUAUGUGACAAACGGCGUCGAUUUUCCCGAGAAAUCAUGAUGCUUUUCUCCGGGUUAUUAACAUAGUCGCGGCGUGGAGAGCGCGUGACGCGUGUUGGUUACAUUACGAAGUCCUUCUGCUCCCCACCCAUGAAAUAUUUCUCGUGCAUCCCCGCCAGAAUUUCACCGCCCCUACCGCGAAGUCGGCGUAUAGCAGAAGAGGAAGACGAAACGAUUCGCGGCGGCACGAGACAGAGUGGAACGGAGCACGUGCCACGUCGGUGGGGGUGGAGGAGGAGCGAUAAAGUUGGAGGGGAAACGGGUGGUAGGACGACGAGAGGGGAGGUCAACGACUCACCCCCAUAGUUACCACUCCCCUUCCACCAACCAGUGGAGCGCGUUUUCUCCCACGUAACGGCGCUAACCGAUGGGACCUUUGUUGCCCGCCACGCUUGAACGGCGUCCCGCUCGAGAGUUUGGACGCUGGUGCCGCCCAGCGGUGAUCGUUGGAACUUUCGAAGAACGGUAGUGGGGGAUGAAGUAGAGUAGUGGGGGAGAAGAUGAGGAUCGAUGGAGGGGAUAGAGUGAAAAGGAACUGGUGGGGACGAAUGCAGAGAACGGAGCGAGUACGAGGACGGGGGCAUGCUGGUCUCAGGACGCGCAGAACGUCAGAGUGGGUCGAAAAGGACGGGUGUCUCUCGCUCUCUUCCUCACUCCCUCCCUCUCAUUCUCUCUUUCUUCAUUUCUUUCGAUCAUUUAUCUCUCUUGCUCAUUCCUCGUGGAAAGGCAGAGAAAGAGAGGUCGAUGGCGGGGUGAGAGCCGGCUUACUACGCGGCGAAACGCUACCACAGCGUUCAGUCGUCAGCGAUCAGACCGCCGGGCAGUGUGAACCUUCCUGGGCAGUCUCUUCAUCUACCAACUCUUCCACUGCUGUCCCUUCCUGGACAGCGACGCAAUAAUCAGCAUCUGGGAAAGCCGGGAAUCGCUUCCGAGAUGGAUUUGCCUAAUUGUCUGGAUGACCAUGGAUCACUUCGCUCUUACAGAACAUACAAAGAAGAAUUUCAACGAGAAUUCGCUGGAAGAUACUCGAGCCGAGGUGUCCAGACUCCAAUAAUCGAAGAAUAUUCUGAUUAAUCAGGAAGAUGGAAAUUGGUGUUCCUAUCGGCUCGGCUUGUCACGAGACUCGACGUGUAUCGAUGACAAGCGGACAGCUUCAGGGAGGUCCGACACUCUUUGGACCCUGAGUCGACACGAAGCUAACAGAUGUUCGAAAAGAUCUUCCGGAGCGAACGACGCUCGCGGUUCAAACCUCUGCAGGCGAUCAACGCGGGAGCAUUUUAGACGGUAAAGAAUUCCAGAAGGGAUCGGAUAUUCAGAAGUUCCCUCAACGAUCCAAGUUAGCAUCGAACACGUUCCAGACUCAUUUGACCGAUUGCGAUCAAUCGACAUGAGAGUUCCGUUUACCGAUCGACGUUCGACCAGUGAUAUCACAUGAUAGUGAAAUCGUAGAGAAGACAUUGAGAUGGGUAGCAACGGUUUGUGCGACAUCGCGUCGAACCACGUGGUGCUCCGAAUCGCGUGAACGAUCCGUACCCGACACUCUUACGUUCCACUUCGCAAAACCGUGAAGCAGAAAGGUGAAAACGGGACGAGCGUAGUUCCGAACCGUCACUUACCAUCGCAAUUAUAAACGGUGAAGUCGCUCGAAAGUCGUCAGGGUAUGUGGUGCCGUUAUGUAACGACCCGACGAACAACGAUGUUGAAAACCGUUCGCGCCUUCGGAACUGAACGACGAUGCCUUUUCACCGGGUCGCUGCGUGUGCGGGAAAGUGUAAACUGAAAUCGAAAUAAUAAUCGGGGGAGAAAAAAAGAAACGAAAAUGUGUGCUUGAAAGAAAAAGUGGGGGGAAAAGCUGUACCAUUGACGACGUGUUAUGCAGCUAGCUGUCUUGCUACGAGAUCUUGGAGAAACAUCGAAGAAGAUUUGAGGUGUGACACUGGAUAAGUGUGCAUGUUGCUUAGUGGCGAUUUCGGUAAGAAUCAUCGCGAAACCGGAGAGAAAUUGUACGGAAGUGUCGUGCUUGUUCAGUGCAUGGCCGAAUUCAUCUAUAAAUCGGUAAUGAAAUUUUUGAAAAUAUCCUAUAGCUCCAGUGAAGUGACUCGUAUCCGUAUUAAAGAUUGAUUAACCUGAAUCUCCACUGAAGAUCAUGCAGAACCUUCUUAAUAUCAAGACACCCCCGGAUAUUUGCUCUCAAAACGCCCCUUCUCGAUGACUCAUGUAAAUUCAAUUUUUCUUUGAAAAAUUAUUAAUCUUUCGUAUCUGAGAUUAGUAUCCUGUAUUGAUACAUAAAUUUUCUUUAAACUACAAAAUUGUUUUGGAACCUAUAGCACACUCAGGUGCAACGUGAGUUUGCUUUAGCUAAAGGUAGAAGUAGAGGAUGGAACGUUCAUAAUUCGCUAAGAAAAACGGCUCUGUUCUCAAUCGAGAGGAUUAUAAAUAUUUUAAAAGCUAGAAAUUUUAUUAACCGUGAAAAACGUCGAUUCAAAGAAAUAGAAAUAUCCGAUUUAUGCGAAUAGAAGGGUUAUUGGCGUGUUACGUCAUUUUGUGGAUCAAGGCGCUGAAGAAUCCAGCAAGACGAUACGGCCCUGUCCUCGGUGGGUAGAUAGGGUAUAAUCAUGGCGAGUUUCGUAUCUCGAAGGGGCACACGGGAAGAUGGUCCAACAUCUGCCGCUGCAGGGAAUCUCUGCCCACAUGCUGGCCAACGUACACGUACGUACGCACGCACACGGGCAAAAAGUGACAUAGCUACACGCCGGGACGUCAUGUAAAUUCAUUCGAAACACAUGGCAGGGCCGAGGCGGCCUUCUUCUCCUGCGUGAGCUAAAGGGUUCUUCCACGGAGGAAUCUGUAUAGCUACGCGGACAUUGGCUCUGGCUUAAUAGAAGAAAAAAAAAUAACUAAAAACGAUCGUUUUGACUUUUAGACUACGAUCUAUCUUUCUCUAUCCUCGGAUAACAGCGUUUCGAGGGACGCUGAGUAUGUGUUCCGGUUCGUCGCUUCUUCUUCUCUAAGAAAUUCUUGGAAUUCUUUUGAUUUUUGGUUGGGUUUUAAUUUAAAUUCUGUAUCGAGGAAUUUGUUGUAUUUGAACACAAUUUUUUACCAUUUUACAUAUUUUCUGAAAUUCUGAACCAUCUUAUCUCAAAUUUAUAACACGAUUCUUAAUUAUUCCUUCGUAUCUUGUCGAUAUAUUCCCCAUACGAUUAUCAAAUCACAGAUAAUGGGUCGACUAAAUAGCUGCUUUGAAAAGCGAUUACCGAUCUCCUGUUAACAGGUGAAAACUAAAUUGGUUCAGAUCAAUUGAGAAAAAAAAAAAAAAAAAAAAAAAAAAUGAAAAAGGAAAAAGAACAUAAACUAACGGAGCAGGAGAAGAUUCUCAUUAAUAAGUCGUCGAUCUUCUUACGCGAUUAGGAAGAAAUAAAGGUGCCAGUUAAAAAAAACAGCGCGUCGAAAUAACAGAGAGCGUUCGAGGGUAACGAGUACGAGCGGCUUAACGAGGGUUCCGAAGAAAUCGUUAACGGGGUAAUUCUUGCGUUCCGCGGGUAAUUACGGCGUCGAAACCAUAGAAUUUCCGCGCUCUUCAUUCAUUAUGCUGACACGCAGGCAAUAAUGGAUAGCCUUUUGUUUUCGAUUCGUCAAAUCCAGGCUGGAUUCUAAUCUCGGGACCCGAUAGCCGGUCGUUUAUAAAACGUUAACCGUGCUCGUCGGCAAAACGAGCAAAUAGGGGGAGGUAGAAAAAAAAAAAAAAUAAAAAACAUAAAAAGAAGACGAAGAAAGAGAGAUGGUAAAAUAGGAGGACGCUUGCCGUGCGGAAUUGCAGAACUGCCUUUAAUUAAAGCCAUCAAGCUAGUUGAACAAUUAUCAUUAAUUAUGGACGUUGCUUGGCCGUUCACAUGAGCCAUCGUCGUGGCGAGCUCAGCCUAGAGAAGGUUCGUUCGCGUGCACCGCGUCAAUUUAAAAAGGAAAAUGAGAAAACAAAGAGACAGGGAUCGAGAGAGGAACGAGGAACGAUACAUAUCCACCGUGUGUUUAUCCACCAAAGAUCAGUUAUUCGUUCCCCUUGCCCGAUCUCAAGACCGGUUCAAUUUGAAAUCUUAAGCGAAACGAUUUUUACCGCUAAUUAAAGGCGCGUUAAUUAAAAAAGUACAGCCCCUGGUUUCAUGCUCGAAUCGUCCCUUGAUCGUUUAUAAAUCGUUGUAUCGUUAACUCGGUUAUUCGCUGACGAUAAGGACAUUCGUGGGUCGUUACGAUACCACAGAAUUAUAUUAUGAAAAUUUAUUCGAUUGAUUUCUUCGAUUGAAGAAAGCGAAUGAUCUUGAAAAGUAUCUUCCGAUUAUAGCGCCGAUCAAGAGUAUUUCUGAUUCUCGUUGGUAAGGUCAAAGAACUACUGGCGACAGUUUCGAAGGCUUACCGUUUCGAAAGCACAACGAAAAUCGUGGCGCAAUAAAAAUCACGAUUUACAGACCACGUCAUCGUCGUAAAACCGGGGCCAAUGACUCGAUGAGCAGGCCUCGCGUUUCACUGCCAUGAGUUACGUUCGCCAGUUAAUUCCUCUUGGACCCUGAAGCACGAUUCAGGAAUGCGUUGAUAACGUUAGUGAUCGUGUUUAUUUUCUCUGUCUUCUGUUUAAAACUCUUUGGAGGAUAAAGAUGGUUCUAUUCAUAGCACCACUCCUUUUUUUUUUUUUUUUCAAAAUAUUAUUUUAAACGAUUCAUUGCAUAUUUAUUGAUCUUUAUUUUGAGCUAUAUUUAAAAAACGCAGUCAAUAUCUUUAAAAUUAUUAAAAUCGUUAAAAAUUAUUACUGAAUAUAUUUUGAAGUUUUAAAAGUUGAGAGGCAAUUGAAUUUGUCAAAAAUUUUGAAAUAUUUCUUUUACAUUAUAAUUUGCUGUUGAAAAUAUUGAUGAAGUAACUUCAAUUAAUCCAUAAUUAUUCUUAGUAUUCUAUAAUACAGUCUUUCACUAAAUUCUUUUUAAAGAUAUAACUAUCAGGGAACGACGACGUAGUGAAUAUCCAAAUGGAAAGAAAAUAUAAGGGAACAGGGCGAGCAGUCCCUAAAAGGGUACUUCGUAACUGUCCGUCGAUAAUCUUCUCGCGACGAUAAUUAAUUACGAGUUAUUUGGAACGUUGCCCGAUUACGGUGUGUCUUAACGGGACAAUAGUGAGCGGGUAGGACGAUAAUGGGGCCCGAUAGCAUGUCCUUAUUAGGAAAAAUUUAAGGUUCGACCGCGUGUUUACGAGCGCGCGGACCGCACGCCAGAACGAGACAUAUUUCUCCGUGAAAUUUAACGAACCUCCGCGCAAUGGGACACCAUUAAAAAAUUCCUGAGCGUCAUGUGGCACGGCGCACGCAAUGUCGAUAAACGCCGCCGGCUUGAAUAAGCCCGCGAACCCGCUACAACUAACAUGACCGGGAAUGAUAAUAUUACCAGACAUUUCACACAGACCCGUGCAAAAGUAUCAUCAAAAGAAAAAAAAUGACAAUUGAUUUAUUAGCUAAGCGGAUAAUUAUUUUCCGUUUAAUCGCUGGACGGACACGGCGAAACAGCUUUCUAACACGAAUUUUUUGGAUAAACAGGAUUAAUUUCUUUAUUAUGGUACUAUUUCUUGUUUGUCGAUAACGGAUAAUUAUUAUAGCAAUAAAUUUGAACCAUGGGUGUAAUAAUGUUUGAUAAAUUGCCAUUGUUGGGUACUAAAUGCUUAAUGUGAAAAUUAAUGGUAAUUUUGAAUAAUAAAUCAGUGAAAUUUGAUAAAUCAUUUUUAAAAAUUGGGAAAAUCUAUGUCUGAGAAAGAUAAAUGUGUAUUCGCAACGAGAUCAGACGGACGUUUCAAUUAUUUAAGCCGACAAGGAAGGCGAGCUCGCCAGUAAAAAGUUUAACGCCGAUGGAAACUCGAAAGUUCAUUUCGUGCAUGUAACGAACUUAAAUAGCCGGAUCGUGUGCACCGGUUGGCCCGCGACUAUUAUCAGAUCAAUAAUUGCAAAGGAGGGUCGAACUUGCCGAACUUUGAGCCGCGUUUCAGGCUAAUUCGUGCCUAUCAGCCUCGUGUCUGUCCCCCGUAACUUCUUUGAAAGGGGGUAUAAAAAGGAGUUUCUUUGCACGUUGCCUGGAAAGUGCAGUAGCUAGCGAGACGUUUGUCUAAAACUGCGUUCAAGUUAAAAUCACGGAUAAAGCUUGAAAUAAAUGGAACUUUGUAACGCACUUUGAUCACAAAGAAGGUUCUUGAAAGAAACUAAAGGAAAAAAUUGAAGAAAUCAGUAAAUAUGUAAAUUUUAGAAUUGAAAAUAUAUUCAUGGACCAAUGAUAGAACUUUAAGAAUUUUUUCAGGGCUGUUUUCUUCGGUAUAACACGAUAGAAAAUCGACGAGUUUUCUCGUAUAAUUAACCAGUUCCUGCAAGGCGUAUUUUAACCCCAUGGUGACGUCUCUAUCCGAUCGGGUCGGCCUCAUAUCGCGGUGUUUACUUGAAUUUACAUCACACAUACAUAUGUAUGGAAGAAACUACGAUUUGUAUCGUCACGUUGGCCAACUAAGGAGCCGGAGUCGUUAACGAAGAGAAUAAUUAGAAAGCGCGGCCAAAGGCCCAUGAACGAUUCUUCGUACGUCCACUCUUUCAUUUUCUUUUUAGUCGUAAGUAGUAUUAAAAAAAUCCUCCCCUUUUGGAUCGUAGAAAAACACUAAGAUUUUUUAAUUUCUCAAAGGAUUUAAUUACAGAAAUAUUAUAUCACAGUAAAAUCAAUUUAUUUAGAAUACUUCUAAUAAUUUUAAGCUCAAUAUUUAAUUUUUUUUUAAUCUGUACGCAUUGUAAAUAUUUGCAUUUAAAAUCCUUUCAUGUAAAAAGGACGUGUUUAUAAUAUAAUAAUUAUAAAGAGUUAAUUGGAUACCCCACGCCCAUAUGUAUCAUCCUGUAACUCAUUCGUUUUAUAUCCUUCGACUAUUACUAAAAACAUUUCUUUCGGUAUUUCAAGCCUCGUUUUAUGCUUGUUGUAAAGUGUAUAGUAAUUCCAGUAGAAUACAUACAGAGUUAGGAUACCCUGUUUAGGAAAUUGGUUGUUACUGUAUUGCGACUUUUACCAUUCCUUUCUUCGUUGAGAUUAUAUUUUCGCUUCAUGCAAUAUUUGUCAACGAAGACAAUUAUCGUUAAUCGUGAACCUAUUUGGAUAGAUUGAUUCUUUUCUAUUCAUUACCGUUUUAAAAAGAAGGAAAAUAACAUUUACAAAAUAAUAUUUCUUUUUAAUGAAAAGAAUUAAAUGAAUUAAAUUCAUUUUCAAAUCACAUAUCCAAAACAAUCAACCCUGUUAAUUUAAUAAACACAGCGAAUUGAAAGAACGAGGUUCUGGUGAAUUUGAAUUAGUUCCACUAAUUGCUCUAAAUUGCUUGUAUCUGAUAAUAAGAAAUUCUUCAACGUUCUUUUGAUGAAUACCUACUUGUAGUUGCACAAACGCGAUCAGAUCGAGAGGGAUAAAUCAUUCCGAUAGGACUAUAUUUACGACUGCAUGGCAACUGAUCGAUAAUCAAUUAUAACUCGGAUCGACAGCUUUAUCGUCGAUCGUGGAAAAUUACCCGCCAUUAAUUCUCACCUUGGACUCCUUCACUGUACACAGAAUAAAACCGCGAAAUUAUACUCGUGUACCACAGAAAUCGACAUAAACGGUAGAAUAACUUUGAUCGCAUUCUAACAAGCGUUCAUCGACCGCGAAUUUCCAUGGUCCGUCGGUGAAUUAAUCGUCCCGAUAGUGGAUUCGCGGCUCUCGCGAACGGAUUCGGUGUUUUCGCCGACCUUUUUUUUCCCCUUUCGGAGACACGCGUACGCGAAUUAAUGGGUGGAUGCCGAGGCAAGCGAGGGUAAAAAGUUUGAUAAACCUCCAUGGUGGUCUUUUUUUCCCUUUGUCGGCUUCCAACGAGCGGCCAGUUGUUGAUAUUUGUCAUGAAAAUCGUUUCGCUUGUCGGCAAACAGAACUCGCGCCUCGGUAUGAACCGCGUGAAAAUGUAUUCGAAAUCUCGUGCGAUAAAGAGUGGUAGAAUGGAAAAAAAAAUAACAGAAAAAAAACAGGGUAACCGGAGGGAGUGAGAAAAAAAGAAAUAUGCGAACACCGACACGAUUUUCGGAGGCUGUAAAAAACACGUGUUUGCACGGGGAGCCGCGGUUGGGUCCGAUCAGAUGGCUGCAGGGCUGAUUUGCAUGCGACCUUUGCCUCCAGGUGUUCCAGAAUUUGCAUACGAAAGGGUGGCGCUCGCAGAUCUCCCCCUCUACCCUUCUGGACCCCCUCCCUCGGUCGCUCAUUUCGUUUCCCUUUUGCUCCUCUGUCUUUCUCGUCGCGGCUUUCGUUCAACCCCCGGUGGACGCAUUUAUAGGUUACUGGCUCAGCGUGUCGUGCUGUUAACUCACCGUUAAAUUUUCGUUAACGUCACUUCUUAACCGGCCAGACCUCACCGGUCGGACGGGAAUUAGUUCUGUGUCGCAGCUUCGGCUUCGAUUCGUUAUUCGAGGCAUCGGUAGUAAAAUAAUAUUAUUCCUUUAUGAAAUAUUUGUUGAAAGUUCAAGAUUUCUAAUUGAAAUAAUCACCCCCUUCGCUAAUUAUAGUUGCUUGUCAUGAAGUAGUCAUUGGGUACCAUGGAUAACUAUAUUAUUACUGUAGAGAGCUGGGAAACAAGAAGUAGUAUAUCAUUUGGUGAAGCAGUCAUAUUUGCUAAUUAGACUUGUGUAAAAUUAGAAAGCCGACCAGUGUACGCGGAGGACCCCUCUUACUCCAGGGUGAAUUCUUUCCAGCUCCCUACAGUAUAACACAAGGCGUUGACAUUUUUCAUUUUGCAAAUAAAACAAAGUUGUAGGAACUAAGAUUCUUGGAAUAAAAGAGCUAAGAUAUUGUAAUUAAAAAUUUGUUGACGGAUAGGUAGUAUAAUGUCAUGGGGUGAGUUCUAUUUCUGUGAUGCACUCGAGCAAGAUAAUUUAUUUAUCUACUUAUGUAUAAUACAGGGUAAAAACAAUAACCCUUUGUUAGAGACUGAGAAGAGGUACUGAAUAACAUGGUAUACAUAGUUGCUUGAUACAGCUACAUUGACGAUAAAUAAUGGUUAUUCGUCUAAUAAUUAUGUUCUCCACGUUAUUUAGAAUGAUUAGGAUAUAUACAAUCUGCAUAUUUUAAUGAGGUUCACAGAUUAUAGUAAUUCACUUGUUUCUUAUCAGAGCUACCAAUCUAACUUAUGAAACAACGAGUCUCAUUACUUUUGGUUUAAUGUAUAAAAGAUUCUACUUGUACAUUCUUUGAAUUACUUUUUAUAAUUACGGUUAAUUAUUAGUUAUUUUAAUGUGUUGUGCAAUAGAGAUAAAUUAUUGAAAUGGAUAGAAUUUUAUAUUUGGAAAGUCUGAUGAAUGGGUUACAUUAACUACUGAGAAACUUACUCUUUUUAAAUUGUUAAUCUGGGAAAAAGGGGAAUCAUUCAAGAAUUUUAUACAAAAAACUUCAAAAGAUUCUGUACAAAUUUUAUGAAUGAAAAUUUCAUGCUAGAAUGAUCAGUUUGCUCAAAGAAAAGGGAAUCAAAACUGUUUUUUUCAUUGCUGGAAUAAUUAAAUUCAUUCAGAAGAAACGAAUUCACAAAAUGUUAAAAAUUUCUAGACUCAAUUGAACGUUCGCGAAUCAAAGGUAGUCGAGAGGGCAAAACAAUGUGAAAAGUUUGCAAUUCACCAAAUCAAAGGCAAUUAUGAGUUCAAUCACUGUGCCUCGAAUAAACCUAUUAAAAAGAAUUGCGAAUCCGAUCAAAAAUAUCGCGAGUAUCUUUUUGUGUAAUGAAAUUUUCCACGCGAACCAUUGAUUCUUUUGUUGCGAAAUGCGAAUUUUCAUUGAACAGGAUUAUUUCUCUUUCGGUGUAAUGAUUAAUCGAUAAGAAAUAUUUUUAUAAAAAAGAGAUUUUGUGUUGGAACUUACAGCAAACAAGACAAAUUGCAGCAAACCAAAAUUAAUAAUAUAGAAUUUCAAAAUAAGGCUUAUGCCAUUUGCUGCCUCGGAGUUAAAAAAAAAAUGAAUUUAUCAUUUGAAGAAUCAAGUACCUCCUAUUAUCUUUUUAUUAUAUAACAUUACGGGUAGGAAUGAAGUAUUUGUCGUUAGAAUUGUAGCGAGGCAAUAAAUAUUUUAUGUUAUCUUGUACACCACCUGGCUGUUUCUUCAUCGGAACGUUCUGUUCUCAGAAAUAUCGGAUUGUGAUUUUUUCCAACGUUCUUCAAGUCUGAUUGCACACUGCCAAGAAUAAUGAUAGCCUUGUCACGAAACGACUGGUUACUUUUUCCUUAAAUUAUCGUUUCUUUUGAUUGAAGAAGGACUGUUCUUCAAGACAUACGUAUCACUCAAGUAUUUUGUCAUACCAAUGAUUUAUUGCUUACUUUUGAUUUUUCUCUUCUUUUCUGUAUAAAUAAUUCUUCAAUUCAUGGCAAAUUAUUAGCUAAAUACAAUGCUAAGUUGUUUUAAUGAAAAUUUCAUUAAAUUUUAUCUUGCUGAAGUAUCUUACUUGCGAAAAUAAGUUAUUUUAAAUAUUCAAUAAAAAAUUGAUUCACUGAGCAAUUUCAAACGGUGUUGAAUUAAUCUGAAGCAAAUUACGAUGGAGGAAUCACGUUCAAAAAUAAAGAUUUCGAGCGUACUUGAGCCAAGUCUAAGUCACGGCUUACUUAAACUACUUCCACUCCGGAAGUUGCGAACCUAUCUACUUGACGUGUAACUUUUCACAGUUGUUUCGAAGCAGACUCUAAAUCAAGAAGAGAAGUUUCGUAUACAUAUACAGAUUAUAAAUCACAUUUAUCAUUUUUCUUCAGUUAUUAAUUACAUCUCCAAUUAUAAGCAGCAUUAGAUUUUCUUUCUCAUCGUGUAUCCAUCCAUUUCCAAAUACAAAUUUGAAUUGCAAUAGUACUUAUAUUAAUGAAAGGAAUUUGUUUGAUAAAUUAAUCUUGCUGCCUAGUUAUCAGAGGCAGUAGAAGAUAGAGCGGAAGUGGCGGAAAGAUACGAACGUUUCUUAUGAUUUUUCUCCGUCCUCUCCCACUUGAUUCUCGGCUAAUCACUUAAUCAGCCCCGAAACCUCCCCCAGUGUCAUUGCGGUGCGUGCGAGUACGCGCGCGUGGGACCCGCGUGCGUGUAUACGUGUGUUUCGCGAUGACGAAGGAGAGGGCCGAACGGCAGCCAUCUUGGCUGACGUCAGCUCAUGCCGAGCACGCAACCGCGAAACGCCGACUUCCUCGUUGCGAUAGCGCCUUACUUUUUUAUUACUCUCCCUCUUCGUUCCUCUUUAACGCGACACGUUCUGUCCUCUCUGUUUCGCGCGCUUCCCUCACGCCGAUUCUUGCUCGUCCCCCUUCACCUCCCCCGUGCACACGCUGUGCGUGCACGUUUAGGCUGCGAAACGAAGCGAGACACCCCUCCCGUGAUAUCUAAAAUGGCGGAAUUUAAUGGACAAACGCUUGGAUAUUAUUCGCUACUCGCAAUGAACAUUAAGGUAGGCGGUAGUGGUGAUUACUAUCGCAGCUGUUCGGUUUCCGCGCCGCGGAAACGGUGUGAAACGCGUCUCGAGGAUCCUCGGGAGUUACGGUUGAUAUAGCAGCCGCUUCAUAAUUUCCCGCCAUGUAAUUCCCGCCGGAGAACGCCCAUUAUUCUUACACGUGCGUGCAUGCCAGUCUCUUGCCUGGCUGUUUCGCGUAUGACAUUCACGUUUAUAAUUCCUCAUUUUCUGGAAAAUGGUCUCUAGUUCAUCCCCAGAGACCCCGAAACGAGGAAUUAUCAAACGGUUAUUAAAAGGGAAAAAAAAUCGAAUAACAUCCCUAUUGAACUACUAAUGGAAAAUUGGACGUGUCCAUUUCUACUGUGCCUUUCACCCCAUUAAUGACCCCGUAACUUGAAUUAAAACGCAGUUAAGAUCGAUCUUGUUGUUUACGGUUUCAAUAAAAUACAACAGGAUCCCGACGAUCCUGUAACUCAGAUCGGGAAGAACCAGUUUUAAAAUAAGGGACGAUUGAGGGUGGAAGGGAUAAGAGGAUGUACAAGAAAAACGAAGACACCGCGAGCGCUGUCGUCCGUUGCGAUAGAAAUUUUCUUUUUCUUCCAUUUUUUGCGGAAACAUUACGAUUUAUUAUGGCGCCUGAUACUCGUCACCGAUCGGAUCGGUACGCUUGAAAACCUGCUCCGGUAAAAAGCGAAUGAAAAACGAGAUCAAUGGCCGGCCAGGACGCUAAUCUAGACCGGGACCCCGUGUUUUGUUUUCUUCAUCCGACCAAUCACGUUGCCGAGUAAACUGUCUUGGACAAGUCUAAACGUCACUGAAGCGAAUAUUCAUUUUUUAUCUAACCAUCGGCUCCGAUUCAGAAGUUGCAAUAAUAACGAAAUUAUCCUGGGGGCUCGUUUCUUCUUCGCUAUAAGUGUUCUUUGUAUCCUUUCAGUUUUUUUUAUCGUAUAAUUUUAAACAAUUUCAGCUAAUAUCGAUAGCAUUUUAGUUUUCUAACGAUUCCUUGGCAUUAGAAAUAAUUUUGCUUCAUAGAAAUUCUAAUAUUAAACUGUAAUUUUCAUUCAAAUUAAUUUCUAUGAAUCUGCAUUCUUAAUGCCACGUUAACUAUCAUUCAUUCUCUGGAAUCAUUAUUAUUGCAAAUAAUAGAAGAUAUUUAUCAGAGUUUAAGGCUCUUAAUAGGAAACAAAUUGAUGAUUUGUUCGAAUUACUAUUAUCGCUCUGUCACGCCCCGCCGAGGGGAUUACAGCCGUUGACUGUUACUUGUCUGCUUUAUUGCCUACUGCGCCACCGUGUUCGCACUAUAAUAUGCUAAUAGAGGGAUGCUAACCUCCCCCUGUCACGAUGGAUCGUCGUAUCCUAUUUACGAGCACUUGCCCCUCACUUCCCCUUCUUGUUCGCAAGAACAUUACGAGGAUCUUAGGAAUAGUCGUAUGAGAAAUGGCCGGUGUGCUCGUGUAAUUGUAGGAAACGUCGAACACAAGAGGUGAAGAAAGGCAAGUUUCAAAUCAAAUUCUUCCAAUUCCAUUCAAUCUCAAACACUGAGAGAGAGGGAGAGAAAGAGAGAAAGAAAUUCAGAAAAAUCUAAGAAUAUAUAAAAAAAACUCUAUUACAUUAAAAGAUAAAAAGAAAAUGAGUUGAUCGUCGCGUUAGAAAAUUCUGAUUCGAUGAAAGAGGGAUAAAUAAAAAGGGAGCAAAAUCAAAAGCAUUUUCUCUUGUUUGCACGCAUCCAGGUUAAACGAGGAUCGUUCGCGAGCCCACGAUCAUCCAGGAAGGACAAUUGACCGUGCUGACUGAGGGUUGGGUUGGGGCUUGGUUACGGGCGUGGUGCACACGAUAAAAAUGGCGCUGCGCGAGAGCGAGGGUGGCCUCUUUUAUCCUCGCAUAAAUGCCGCGUGUGUGAUGCACCCCCAACAGACCGCCCCGGUUUAUUCUGUCGAAAAACACCGUUCGCGUCCCCCCUCUGCGACCCCCGCGUCCUUUCGCGUCAGGACCCUCGCCCCGUGCCACCCUUCUCGUGAUUGGAAGGCACGAGCUCCCGCUUAACCCCUCAGCCAGCUUAUUAUGCACCAGUCGGAUAGAUGGAUGGCACGAGAAUGGUUUCGGGAUUGUCAGAGGGCACGUCAAUGACAGAUCGAGAGAUUUUUCGAGGGUUUCUCUCGGUUUCGACGUCCACGCGGGGAUAUCUUCGCUUGAAUGGGGUCAAACAGUAUUCUUCAGGAUCGUAUCCUUGAGGAAGGUGUCUUGUGCAGUCGUGGAUAGAAACGUUGGAAUUGACGGAUGUUGGGUGCAAUUUAGGGAUGUAUAUUUUAUUGAUAUUAUAAUGACAACAUUUACGUGAAAAAAUUGCUGGGAUGUAACAAGUUUAAUGACCUACACGUAGAGUAUGUACGAUUCUCGUUACAAAUCGAAGCAAACAAUACUGCUCGAUCUCAUGUUUUAAAGAACACUUUUAAGACUGUCAUAACAAUAAGCCAUACCAGGGGUGAGUAGGUGGGUACAAUCGGUAAUUAAAUAAACGACGAAGGUCGCGUUGAAGCCCGACGAUUGAUCCGCGUGAUGGGCCUAAUGGGUGAGAGUUAUGGGGUUUCGACGCUCGACUUCGUCAAGGAACCCGAAGUUUUCGUUACUUUUUCGUCACCGAUGAAACUACGCUCUUUUUUCAAAUUAAUUAUAAACAUUAAUUUAGCAAAAUAUAAUAAUAGCAAAGGUUGCAUCAAGAUAUUAUAGAAACAUCAAAUAAUGUCUGGGUUAUAAAAAGACAGAUUCGUUUUGCCGAAGAGCAAUGUUACACCAUUUUUUUAUAGGAUGCUCUUCAGCUUUCACCCACCUCAUCGAUGAGUUACGAGUUGGCCCAAUUGCUGCAACAACGUGUCAUUCAUCGAUACUUUUUAUUUGCGUGGUCAGUUCGCGAAAAAUCGAGCACGGGAGGUGAAAAAAAAAAUCAGGGUUAGCCAGUCAACGGAGGGUGUGAAACGCGCCCCUAACAAUUCCAUUUCCGACUGCGAUAAACCGUACGAUCGCGGCCGUGCAAUAAACCAAUCGAACCGGAUGUGCCGGGGAAUGCAACAACGAUCUCGACCUGAAUUUUUCGUUGUUUCAUGUAUCCAACGAUUCGUGUAAACACUGCAAACACUGUAGAUUAUCCUUUGUAUCAAUGAAACAACAAAUUCACACCUCAGAAUUAUUCAUUUGUAAAUAAAUUUGUAAUUUAUUGAAUCAUUAAUAUUGCGUUUAUUGAGAAAUUCAAUUUGUUGCAAAAUUAUAUAAUACCUAUCGGUAGUAAAAUCUUCCUGAUUUCUAUUUAGAAUCAACGAUGGAGAUAAAAGGAUUUUAUCAUUUGGUUUCCUCUUUGAUGAACGAUGCUUUGUGCACGACGUUAUCGGUUUGUUUGAAUAUUCAACAGAGUUUGCGAUCGGAGUUAGAGUCUUUAGAAAUGCCAGUUUCCGCUUUUGAUCUUGAGAUUGUGAUUCGAACGGUGAAAAGGUAUGCGGUGUACUAAAUUGCUGGAAUGUUAGAUGCCACGAUUCAUAGCGUGAAUUACUGUUACUAUUAUAAUUAUUGCAAGCAGUUUAUUGAAAAAAUUGUUAGAAUUCUAGUAUAAAAUCAUUAUAAAAAUUAGUAUAUUGUUUAAACUUUGAUAAGUAAUUAUGCACAGAUAAAGAUGUGAAGGUUGCAAAUUAAUUUGCCGACCUAAAAUACAAAUCCAAACCAAAGAAUCUCUGUCGAUAAAAUAUUCGUAUCGCGAUUACGAGUGCCUCGCGGUAUUUAUUUAUCCCGUGCGACGAUUGUGACUCAAGCAUUUGCUCGCGGAAUAUCAACGCAGCGAAGGAACGCGCGUUGCAAUAUGUAGGGAGAGGCAUGCAACGAUGUGUCGCAACGUACGGACGCGAGGGUGGAUCAGGAGGAUAGGGUGGGAUGCAAUUGCACCGGCCACACAGUCACGUAGCCACGUUUACAUGGAUGCUGGUAGGACACGUAUAAUGGCCGUGUGCACAUCGUCGAUAGUUAUUGCUUUGUUAUUGGGGCGCGCAGCCGGCCGCCACCGAAUGUUGGAUUUCCCUUUAUUGGAAAUUUCCUGCGCUCCACUUCUGCGAUUUCCCGAUUUCCCGUCCGCAAAUAUAACGGGAGAGCCGUCACGCGUCCGAUUUCACCCUUCCGCCCACACUUUCUCCAUCAUUCGUCCCCCUCUUUUGGUUUCGUUUCUAGUUUUAUUUCAUCCUGACAUCGAUUCUAUUGAUGUUGUGUAGCGUAGUUUCGAUGGGUUCAGCACACUUUUAUGGCUUUUUCAAACAGAGAUCAAAAUUUCAAUCGAAUCGAUUCACAUAAUCUUUUUAUAUUUUUCUUUCAAAGCUAAACAUUAAAUGUUAUAAUGUUUAGAAUAUUACUUCUUUUUACUUUUUAUUAAAGUGACAAUUUAAAUGAUUUCGUGCUGAUUUCUUCCAUUUUGUAAGAAUCUUUCGACCGUUUCGGUCACCAAUGCAACGAACAAGGGAGUGGGGUUGCGCGUGGCUUAAUUGAUUAAAUUUCGAGGGGUUUUCGUUCUACUUUCACCGUGAACGAGUCUGCAACCCUGCAUUGACUAUGGUUCACUCCCCACUUAACCAUGUUUCCCCCAUGCUUUUCGAAAAGGUCGAUCUGGGGUUCGAACGGUCGCACUCAGGGUCACAUGCAUCGCAAUGGCUCCCAUUUUGUCAUCUUUUUCCGAUGAUGUACGGCUGUACAGGACGUUUAGGAGUCUCGAUGCCGUCAUUGGACACUCUUGUUAUUCGAGAAUGAUAGAGUCGAGUUUAAGGACGCGGAUAUCGUUUCGUGAUUGCAUCAUUUGUUCGAUUAUGCUUCUGGUUAAUGUUAGCAAUCAUUUCUUGCUACUGAAGGAAGAUUGCAACGUAAACAUAAUUGUAUACAUCUACUUUUUCUUAUUAAAAAGAUAAAAUAUUACUGAUUCGAAUAAUGCUUAUUUUGAAUGUAGGUUGUUACUUGAGUUUUACUAAAUAGCUUUAUAGAAAAAAAAAUAUGAAGGUAAUAUUUUAUUAGUUUGGCAUUUUGUCUUCCAUUUUUGUCGUUAAUAACUGGUAGUUCCUAUUAGUAUGUCAUUAACGUAAUCCUUUGGAGGAAUGACUCAGAAGUGCACAAUGAUUCACCGAUGAGUUGAUUGCAAAAUCCACGUGUACCUCGUGAAAUCGAUAGACACGUGUCAAUAUUUUUCCUUCUCCUUGGCAAAAUUCCAUUUACUGUUUUUUCAUAUAUGCCUUAUUUUUGCUUUUUAAGCUUCGGGGAUUUUUAGAUGUAGAAACACACACCCUAUUUUGUAUAAAAAUAUUUUUUAAAUAAAAUUCGAAUACCUACUUAAAAAAAUUGCAAGUUAGAAGUCUGGAAAUUUUUAUCCAUUCUACAUUUUUAUGCACUUUGCAACUAUUUUACAAUCUUACAAAACAAUUUCUAAUUACAAGAAGCUUUAUCCUUCGACUUCAUUCUUUCAUAACCCCUCAUCGUUCUCUGCAAGCUUUUCAUACUUUUUCACAGUUGUACUUGAUCCUUUCAUUUUAACUCAGAAACAGAUUUUAUAUUUUUCAAAGCGAACUUCCCUGGAACAAUAAUACAGAUUCCGUAACAGAGGAACUGUAAACUUUAGACAGUUCUAUCGCAAUAUCAUUCCACUGUCUUUACAAUUCUCUGCAAUUUUUCAUAAUCCUCCAACAUUUUCCACAAAUUUCCGCAUCUCUUUAUACAGAAAACAAAUAUCUAGAUUAAAGGAAGGUCUAAAGAGAACUGUCCCAUUUACUGUAUCAAAAAAUACUGAAUUUUUUUUCACUUUUUCUUUACGAUCAAAUGCUAUUUAAUUUCAAUUAAUCAAGGGGACCCUCCAAAGGUUAAAUAGCCCGAGACCCUAGAAACCUUAAUCCGGUCCUGGUUACAUCCCUUAAGAAAAGAGCAUCAAAAGUCUAGAAACAGAGCUGAUUGUUGCAGACGAAGUCAAGAUUCACCGUAGUAAUUUUCAAUAUCCACCUUAUUACCUCGAAAUAAUACCUCGAUCCCAGGAGCCCCGGAUUACAGCGUAGUUCCUCGUUUCCUUGUCGACGGUGUCGGUGCUUCUAAUACCGUCGCCACUCGAAACGAAAUCUUAUCCAUAUUUCGUGACUCGGCUAGCAGGGGUUACGUCGAAGGAAAGGAGAGAAAAGAGGGACGAAUUUUUCGGGGGAUGCGAGAGCGGAAGCGGCGAGGAGUCCGCGAGGGGAGCAGUUCGCCUUCCGUCGAGGCUCUCCUUUACGACCACGUAGGCGUUUUUACAGGAUCUCGCAUCCUCGAUUUCGUACGAGUACCUUGCUCCGGGUAUUAAACUUCUGUUUUACGCGUUAUCCUGACAGACGAGUAAUAGCCGUGCAGAGUUUCAUAAUUCCGGAGUACCCUUGGAAAUGGCCCCGGUUGCUUCUUCGGGAUCCUCUCGACAAGUUUGAUUGCCGCGACGGACCGUGAAGCGUUCGAUGGAUGUCAGCGUUCGAUCUGCUCGUAAGAGAUGAACGAGACUCGGCCGAAAAUUGAUUCAAACACGGCUCGUUUCACCGUUAUCUCUUUCCCACCGACAGAUACGUUUGUUUCCGUUCGUUUCGAUAGGGUACUCGAGUGGCCUAGCUGAUAAAUUGCUAACAGUUUUUUCGGAUAACCGGUCGAGAAUUGCAGGGAAAGUGAAACUUUUUCGAACGAAUUUUCAAUGGAAUUGGUUAAUGGAAUCUCGUUUGAAAAUACCUACUGUGUUUACAUCACUGCUAGAUAAGGAAAACUCGACGCAAUCAACUAUAAUUGAGACUAAUGACUUCGAGUAGUUAAGGAGACAAAGUCUAUCGACAAACGUAGUGACUUUCCGGUUUGACUGCCUUUAAACGUCAUUGGCUCAUCGAAAUGUUAAUAGGCUGAAAGAAUUUUUUAAUUUUCCUCUGGUAAAUCAAGGAUAGACUUACUGCGAAUAACUGUUUUUCUUUGUGACUUAUAAAAUCUCGAAAACAUUAAAUACCUUUUAUCGCCCGGACGGCGGACCAUGGAGAAAGUCUCAAUUUUAAUUUAAUUUGAUAUUUUCUACAUUUUGCGCUGUUCCUCUGAAAAUUAUUCUUCCAAUAAGUGGCUAAUAAAUUCUGGCCAAUUAAACAAAAAUCAAGUACAAAGGAUAUACAUGAAAAUGGCUAACCGGUCCUGUGGGUACCCGAAGGGUUAACGGUAACCCGUCGAAAUUCAGUAACAAAUUACCAAAAGCUUCCAUCUUCUUUGCAAGAGCGUCGAAAUGAAACUGGUUAUCCCAUUUCGCGAUACUCGCAUUCCCCUCUGGGGAUACGUUGGUCCGCGAUGAGGGACGUUCCAGCGCGAACGUUCGCCACCAGCUCGUAACACGGAGCAAUUUCGACGGCCGAGCACCUUGCUAUUCACCUUGAAACCGGUCCGGCGAUGCUCUUCCUCGCGGGGCCCCCGAUCAAAUCGAAUCUUCGUGUCCGAUCUCUCGUUCACCCGCAAACGAGUUCCACCUCGUGCGCGGAUGCGAGAAUGAUUCGCGAGUACCCGUGUUUAUUUGCCGAGUCAUCUUCUAAAUUGCAGCGUGUUACGGCCGUGUGUCGAUCGUGGAUCGAUAUUGCGGUAAAAAGAGGGGAAAAACAUUAUUGCCCGGCAGCGGUGUUCAAUCGUUCAAGUAGCCGCGAGUUGCGCGAUUCCCACUGACCAACCGGGCUUGUUUUCCUCCUCGCUGCUAAUAAUAACACGAUUCUAUCCUAGAAUUGGAUUUUAAUUAAUGCCGAUUCCGUGUGCGACUAGAACAUAUUUAAUUCGUUGAAACUUUCUGAGGAAGCGAUAACUAAUUAUCUUGCACGAUAUAGGCGUAACUUCGUAUAUUUAUUUCUUUUAAAUUGGAUGCUUUUAUCUUUAAUUAACGCUUAUUAAUCAGUAUAAAGGGAAUAAUUUUAUACUUGGUCAACCUUGACUUCUUUUUCAAUUCAAGUCGGUCAUUCGAAGCAUUUGUCACUUACAAUACGAUAAAUUUAUCGAUGACAUGCUUAAUUAAGACGUGCAAUAAUGAAGUCACCAUUGAGCGUGCAUUAAAUUAGAAUAAUAGACAUUCUAAUUCUAAAUAACUGAUAUUGUUCUUCGCGAAAUAUGCACAUAAGUUCUUGCAUAAUAAAUGUACCAUAUCGAACUACUAGUCGUAUUGUCUCUCAAGAUAUUUUCUAGGAACGUAAUUUACUUUGAAAUUAGAAUAAUUUGAAAAGGUCUGCCGAAUCAACUUCUCGUCCGCCUGUAUUUUCGACAUCGAUCGAUAUCAUCGAAUCCGUAUUAUUUAUUUCGCGCGAUUCGCGGUCAGAUUACGAAUUAUCGCAACCGGACAAAGUACCAUGCGAAUCUUUAUCGCCGGUUCGUAGCCGAGCGCAAAUUGGACGCGCGAUCGUUUAAGGGGUCGUGUGGUUGCUCGAAAGCGGGUCCCCUUUCCUUCCUUUCGGGCCGUGGAACGGUUCGUUCGGUCCACGGUUACAGGAGGAAAGAGGGUGCCCGAGAGAGGGAGAGAUCGGCCAACCACGAUAUAUAAUGCCGCUGGCAUGACAAGGCGAGAGCAAUUAGAUGUCGCCGGAUGCAGCUGCAGGCGAUUGCGUCAUCGGAGUUACUUUGCAACCUUGAUCUCUCCGGAAGGGUCUCCGUUGGCCUGUCCCUCCCUGCUCUACGUGGUUCCUACCACCUCCAUCUUCUUUCGUCGCUGUCCUUCGAUACAUUUAGCUCGCUCGUUCAACGUGGAAUUCAUCCGACGCGAUAAACGCGAGACGAACGAUGACAGAUUCGCGUUAGUUCCGCGUAUUCAGACGGAAACACGGCGUAACUAUGGAAAUUUCGACGGCAACGGCGGCAGAAAAGUUACGACGGCUUUCAUUUACAAGUCGCCGCUUAUUUACAUUCAAUCAGCUAACGAGUGGAAAAAAAAAAACAGAGGGAAAAACACACAGGCGAAGAAAAUACUGAUAUUAAACGGCGAUUCGACGAUAAGGAAAUCCGUUCUAUCCGAAGGAGAUCGCGAUAGGCUCGCGUGUAUUCUUCGGAAACUCCGCGCAAAAAAAUAGGAUUAUCUUGUAAAUCAAGCGGUUUCGCGACGUGCCCCGGAAGCGACUAGCCGGCCCGUGUAAUUUAGACGCCGAUUAAGCUAAGAGUCGUUAAAGAGUUUGAAAGGAGCGCGGAGAUAGGAGAACAGGUGCGAUCCUAGAACGAUAUCGCGUACGUAGACGCGAGUUUCUCUCCUCGUCGUAGCUCAUCCCGCCGAAGCGGAGCGGCGAAACGCGCGCGACCAUACGAACGAGCCGCUCGUUUUUGCCGCUCGGUCAUCGCGGUGUGUCGUGAUCCUCGCCGCGGAAUCGUGGGACUCGUUAGCCCGCGCUCGGGUUAAUUAUCCUCAGCCUGGUGAGAGCCUAUGUUUACUCUACCUUCGGCUUUUUCUUGCCGGCCCUCUUCGGGGGAAAAAAGAGGAACGCCUACGAGGGCCAGAUUAUCCGUAUCCUCGACUAUCUGACUUCUAUCAAAGACACGAACUAUGCGAUUUUUUUCCAAGACUUUCCGUGGAAGAAAAUUGGACCGGCUGCUCGGCUGUUUCGUGAUCGGUAUUGGAUCUUGGCAUUUAACUAGGUGUUAAUUGUUAGAAGCUUGAAGGAUCAAGAUACCUGUUGGUUCUUCUAAGGCUAAGAAGGAUCUUAUAGAAUUUAUUUGAUGGUGAUAGAACAGAAAAGCUGCUAACAGACUCUUAAGAUGUGACAAAAUAUUUGGGACUUGGUUUUCUAAUUUUUUGAGAUUCUAUUCAUUCUGAUAAAAUAAUUAAAUAAUUAAAAUAUUUACAUUAGACUCGUGCAUUUCAAAAUGCAACAUUUAGUUUACUUUUCACAUUUUCAUUAAUAUUUCUUCAUACUGAAUUCAUAAAUUUUUUAUUAUAUGAAAUUUUAGUUUGAUUUUGAAAUGUGAAUCAUACUGCUAAUGUUUAUACUGAAAUCUAUAUAGUAAUGAGUAAUGAAUUAUUAAAUGAGUACUAGCGAGAAAGGUUAGCGAAUGUCCCUCUGGCGACGAGUACUGAAAGUAUCAUCUCAAACAUUCUAAAAUGACUGCGUCUAGCUCGUAAAGUAUCACCAGACCAUUUUAAAAGACGGAAGAUGAUUCCCACCUAACUGGUAUAGGAAAGGUGUAGGCGAUUCUGGAAUUAAAUUAUGGAAGAUUCUCAUCGAACUUGUCUCUGACAGUAUAAAAACAUUUUUAGGGAAUGGUAGCCUUCGAACAGCGCUGAUGAAGAAAAUAUUUUUCCUAACAAUAGAAACACCGAAGAAUCUUCGCGCUCGAUCAUUUCUACCCCUAUUAUAAAAUUCUUUGCUGGAUAAAUAGUUUCUUUCUCUGUCAAUUACGGGUAAAUUUUCAUCGUCGCGUCAAUUUCAACGGGUCAUGGAAGGGUAUAACAUGCGUAGAAGAUGCUUGGCUCGCAGCAGUUUUCUUCGAAGGAAAAAAAAGUUCCCACGGGAUGUGGAGAACUGCGGAAGAGGGACGUAUAGGAGCACGUGUAGCGUGGCUGCGACAGCUUAAAGACAAUUCACACAUGGCCGACCUAUUUCGUGGUUCCUUCGUCUCAGAUGCGUGCACGUUGCGCGUGUUCCUUCGAUAUGCAAGUAGGACUGCUAGACAUCUGUCUGAUGUGUUUGUUAGGCGAACCACAACCUUUCUUGGGGAACCAAGAAUUUUUGACCAUGCUGAAGAAAUAAUUCGUUUCUUCCACCAUUAUUGGUUUAACCCUUCGAUUCCAAGCAAUAAAAUUAUUCAUAAUUUUUCAAAGUUUCUUCCUUUGGAAAGUGAGUCCAAAUAUUCCAUCUUUGAGGAAAGAAAGAUACAUGUAAAGCUCCCUUUUAUUGACAACGUUCCGUGUGUUAAUCUUCCGUCUCCCGAAACACACCCCUCUAUCCUCGUUCUAUUCGACUUGAUUGGUUCAGCGGGAGUCCAUUGCAGCCAGCUGCUUUGAAUAAUUAACCGAGCAUCGUUGAUGCUCCGAUUGGCUCCACUAGCCGAGGAAACGACGGGAGACAGACAAUUUCCUACAUACUAGUUUUCUAGUCUCCAAGUUUUUUUCUCUCUAAAUAAACUUGUCAUCGGUGGCUAAAAUUACAUAGAAAUUUUAUUUUAAUUUGUAAGAACCACUCUUUAAAAUAUUCAUGUUUUCUGUCGUCUCUUUUAUUACAUUAACUGCAAUAUCAUUAAAGACUAACUAUUUCCAACUGAAAUUUUCCUACGUCAGCCGUUUUUGAUCGUUUAAAAAAAGAUUGCUGUGCGAACACGUGCAAUUAUGAUCGCGUCGUGCCUCAGAUGGCGAUCGACGAAACUGUUUUAUGUUAAUUCUAAUCGCGCGGCAAUGAUAUCAUUCGACUGACUCACUGGUGGUCACGUUGAUCUGGCUAAUGCAUUUAAGUGCGAGCAACCAGCGGCUAGUGCUAUUAAUCGUUCGGUAAUCGAAUCGUUCAAUUGACUCGAUUUUCCUUUGAACGACGGAUUAUCUGUUGUUGACGGUCUCUUUUCUUCUUCAAGUUUAUCCAAGGUGCAUCAGUCGAAUCGACGUUCGCGAUUCGUUCCAUCGAAUCGAUACGAUGAACCAUCGAUACUCACGAAUUUGUGUUUUUCUUGCCUCUCGCUUUGAAUUAUUCAUCGAACGCCUAAGCGUGUAAUUGUUGUUGAUCCUUCGACCAUGGUUUCACAUUGUGUUUCGGUGUCGUUCGACUUGUAUUGCUUUUCAGUUGCUAAUUAUAAUGAUUUGUGAUCAGAGGAUGGUGAACAAACAUUUCUCAGACCUUUCUCAAAGGAAUUAGUGAAUGUCGUAAGUACUGCUGUGCCAUAGUAAAUUUAUUUUUAUAUUUUAGCAAGGGGAAUUCUAUUUGAACGAUAUAUUUUUUUGAAGUGAUUCUAAAUCAAAUUGUUCUCAUUAAUUCAAACGAUUUGAAAUGUUGCAAUGAAACUAAAAGCGAACCGGGUCGUUUUCGAAUUUCCAAGAAAGUGAAAAGAAUGCCUAUAACAUUACCCUCUGUCGGUGGCCACAAUCUUAUCAAAAUCACAUACUCGAGCGCGUACGAAAUAAUUCUUUCACAUAUUUCCAAUCUCUGUAAUCUGAAAAAAACAGGAAGUUUCACGAUGCCUUUAGACAACUGUAUUUACGGAAGAAUUUCAAAAUCAUCUCUCGACACAGCUGCACCGCGUACAGGAACAAUAUCAAUAACCGCGACGAUCACAAUUACCAACACAAACACCUCCUCUUAUCUCGAAUCUGAGUAACUUUGAUAAAUCGCUUGUCAUUCUUCCAACCUGCCACAUCACCAAAUCCAUCCAACGCCUUUCUCGAUGUCCCAACAGAAAGAAGAAAGACGAAGAGGAAGAAGAAGAAGAAAAAAAAAAGAUCCAUCUUCCUCUGAUUUGCAGGGCAACCUUGAUCGUUGGUAAUCUCGAUCCUCCGAGAUCCACGCCGGCGAUCCUCUUCUUCCUGUCCCGUCUCCCUUUCCUCGACGUCUUCUUCGUCUUCUUCCUCCGCGGACGUCGUGUCAUUCUUCACCGCCAGGGGCGUCAGUGUCGCCGGUGGACUCGAAAGAAGGAGGGGAAAUCGGAGGGCCGUGUGUGUCCUCGCCGUGUGUGUUUCUAGUCGAUGCCCCUCGAGACUCUUCAGUUCUUCACGGGCCUCCGUGCGAGCAGGUUUUACGAAACUGUUCAAACUCCAUCCUUUUCCCCUCCACGACUUAUCCACGAAGGAACCUCUACUCUUUCGCUACAGUAAAACGCAGCCGAAUACAUUUUCGACCACGUCCUCGAAAUCUAUCAUUUUUCAUCGUGUACCUCGAUUUAAUCGUUCUGUUCGCACUUUUUUCUUUUGGAACGUUCUAUUCCUUGAUCCUUGAAUAAAAAUCAUCUUCGAAAGUAUCCAAAAUCAACCCUUCAGAACGAUCCUGCUGUUAGGACGGUUCGUGAUCGAUGGUUCGAAAAAAAAAUCGAGACGAUGGAAGAAGAAUAGUGCGUGAAGUGCGUGUACCGAAUAGUGCUCGUGAAGUGACUAACUGUCUGGCGCGAAGAAGAUUCAUGAAGAUAGAUCGAAAACGAGAGGGAAAUUGAGGAGAGAGGUACCGAUCGGUACGUACGCAUAUAUGGUAGAGAUCCAGCAGCGAGGUAUAGAGUUCCUACGUAGCGUUCAGAAAGUAGGAACUUCAUACCGUGCUCUUGGACUUGCCGAAAGAUCGUCGACCGAAUGUAGGCGGCCGGAGAUUGUCGAAAUGAGAAAUUAACGAAAGCGAAACGAUACGCGGGGGAUCGAUAAUGGAAAAGUACCGGCGGACGCAGCCACAGAGGCCGAUAAGCACGGGAUUUAUCAGUGAUCGCUCUACCAGACCCGCUCGCUACAGGAUGCCGAUUUCUGUCGAAGUAAGUGACGACUGCAAGCGCCUACUGUUCCACCGAUUUCCUUAUUUCGGCAGUUUUUUUUCUUUCCCAACGUUGCAACGUGUUCGCUCAUUUUCCCGUGAACGUUCGCCCACAGUUUCGUGGCUGAUCGAUCGCGCGCUGGAUCACUUUGCUACCUCGUGAUUCAGCUCUCUGUCUCUGUUCGUCGGUGAAACGAUUUUAGGAAUGUCUACCGUAUUAUUGAAAUAUUGGGGUCAUUCUUGUGAUUUUAGCAUGUGCGAUAAAUGGUUUUGGAAAAUUCUAAGAGAAAUGAUAUUGAUAUUGAAAUUGGUGAGAAUAAUUGAUUUUAGUGGUUUUAUGUAACUGAAAAACACUCCCAUGUGGUAAAAUGCUUUAACAGAUGUGAGUUGGUGAAUGCAUUUUAAAAAAUUCGUGUAAUAAAAUGUUUUCAAAGAUUCUAUUCGUUAUAUGGAUUCUAAAAUAUAGAAAUUCUUUUAUUUAAAAUAUUCUUGCAACAAAAUAUUAUUUUCUGAAUUUUUGAAAUAUUCAAUCAAUUUUUAUGGUAGAAUACUAGUUGAAUUUUACGUUGAUAAAAAAUUUAAUAACAGUGUAGUAAAAGCUGGUCCGGUUAAAAAAAAAAAAAAUCCGCUUUUACAGCUAAACAAAAUUCCUGAUGAAAAAUCGGAAAGAUACUGUUUUUUAAAUGUUAAAUAUUCUUCUGAAUUGGGUCUACAAAGGAAUAUAUUAAUUUUUGAAAUUUUUAUCAUGAAUUUUAAUUUUGUUUUUAAAUCAAAAUUUAAUGCAAUUAAGUGAAAUAAGCACAGUAUUCCAAAUUUUCUCUUCUUCGAAUAAAAGUAUAUUUGUGAAUGAUAUGCAAACGACAAGAUAAAUAUUUCGAAUUGAAAUUUCCAUCGAUUAAGGUACCACGAUUCACGUUCCAAAAACAGACCCGUCAUUCCAGUCAAACUUUUAUCGAAAACAGAACACGUAGAACAUGGCAAGUAUUCGAAAGAAAGGAAGAACAAGUGGAAUUGGCAAUACCUCCAAAAAUAGUAUGCCACGCUUUCUCGCUUACCAAUCGAAUCUAUGAUUUGAAAUUUAGUUAAAAAUGCCCUUGAAGAACGGCUUCUUCAAACUACGAGGCUAUAAUUAAGAAUGUAAAUCCAUCCAUGGUAGUUCGAUGAACAGUAAAGAAUUAAUUAUUUAAAGUACCAUCUUGGAAUAAAUUUGAAAGUAGAGAAGGUAUUCGUUUAUUUUUAGACACAUGUGCAUGUUUAUGGGUAUAAAAUAUAACUACAAUUUUGUAUUGUUUUUUAUGGCUUUAUAUGAUUAAAAAGUAUUUUGAACCUAAGUCCCGUUAAAUUGUAUUAAAAAAAAUUAUGAAAAACUGAAUAUUUAAAAAUUCUAAAUAAUUGUUGCAAUUACUUUCUCAGCACUGGCAGAAUAUUCCACUUAUAAAAAUUCUGGAAUCUUUUGAAUUUGAUAUCUAGAAAAAUGUAAAGUAGAUAUUAUUGAUUUCAGAUCGUAUUGGUAUAACAUAAAAUUAAUAUGAAAUGUAAAAUAUCAUCGAUAAUCUACGGAAGCUUAUGCAAUCAUAACAUAUCAGAGUACACAAAAAAUAUAUGAAGAAAUGAAAUAAAUUAUUCAGAAAAUGUGUAAAUGAAGGUAAUACUUUCAAUCACCUGAAGGGAAAAAAUAUUUUAUAAAAACAUAUAUUUGCAUUAAGAUCUAUGGUCAGAAUAUUUGUAUUCAUAUUUCUAUUUGUUAUUGAAAUAUAAGUAUUAUUUGAUAGAUAUUAUUAAAUUAAUAUACCGAUACAUUGAAUUUAUUACACUAUUCCUAAAAGACUAUUUAGAGCCUUAAUUUGAUGUUAGAAAAGUAAAUUGUUUGUUCAUAUGUGUACAUGUAUUGCAUAUUGUUAAAAAAAAAAAAAAAAAAAAAUAAUAAUAAUAAAGAAAAUCCUGCAGAUGUCAUCCACCUCUAUUUGAUAUAUGUAUAAUAAUCUGAAGUACCCGAGAAAGGAACAACGGGUUUCAAUUAAAAAUAUAUACUUAUCCAAUAUCACUAAAUGUCCAAUAAAUAUAAAGUCCAAAAUUGUUAUUAUUCUGUAUUCGUUAUUAUGCUUUCAAAAAAUCAUUAUAUUGUAAUUUACCUCAGAAUCGAAAAUAUUAAUUUUGUCUAUGAUUUUGGGAAAAUGCGCUCUCAAAAAAAGUAGAAAUCAGUCUCGGGACAAAACCGUCGCAGAGAAUAAUUAGCCAUUAAUUAUCGAUUCGUCGCGACGCUUGACCGUGCAACACAUGACCCUGAAGUUUUACGUAAAUACCGCGAAAUCAAAGUUAUCUUACUUAUCAUGAUCACAAUUGAUCAUGUCGAAACCCUGUCUUCGCUUAUGAUCGAACUGUCUCGAUUGAUUAGCAACUCAUCGAUUAAUUUACUUAUCAAACUGCGUAUCUGAUUUCCUCUUAUUGUUGUUGACGUUGCAAAUUCAAAUACCGAAGUUCAAAAUAUUUUCUUUUUUAAGUAAAAGAAGGAAUCGAUAUUUUAUUUACUUACUGUAUGUCGGAAGAGGUAGACGUUAGAAAAUAUUUGUGAUACAAAACGAAAAAAUAAAGAAGAAAAGAGAAAUUCAGACAAAAAAUAGAAGACACGAGUGAAUUCAAUGAUUUGCUGGUUAUUUUGAAUCUGAAAGAGAGACGACUUUUUCGGCGAAAAAUGUCUGGGAAGCUUGCAAAAUGGACGAAUUCAAAGAAAAAAAGUGCUAUAAACAUUGGGGAUGGCCAAAGGGAAGAGCGAGAACUCGAAACAUCAUCAUUUUUCUCGAGGAAACCUGAUUUGAGUGCACAAUGCACGACUUAUGGUAAAAAUAUUUUGAAAACCAUGAAGAAGACGUAAAUAUUCAACGCGUCUGCAGUUAAUUUUAGCACAGGAGAGAGACGGAUUUCUGAGAAGAAAAGAUCGUUGUUUUGAAAAAUAUAAGCAGAGAUAAACACAAGUUUAACGCUAUACUAAUUAUCUUAAAUUUAGUCUAGACACUGUAAGCUGUUUUUAUCAACUUAAAAGACAGCAACACAAAUAAUAAAACCUUCAUAAAAAAUAUUUUUUAAUACUAUAUAGGACUAAUAAUUUUCUGACUAAACUCUUCACUGUAUUUUGCAGCUAAAAUUGUAAAAAAUUACAUAAACACUCAAAUUCUUGAAGUUGAAAUAAACAACGAUAAUUAAUAUCAAAACACACGAGACAAAUAAAACAAAGUAAUUAUAAAUUUAAUUAUAAUUAUAAGAUAAAAUUAUUAAAUUUUGGGAUAUUUAUAAUAAAAUAUUUGAAUAUAAAAUCAGAGAUCCAAAGGUGGUAAAAAAUUCAAAUGACCAGAAUUCGGUUUUUGCUAAAUAAAAAUUUGGUGAACGUAAAUAAAUUAUUGCAAAAUCUAUAAUCCUAUAUGAAAGUGGCGAGCAGAUAAUUCGCGCGCCUACGAUAAGCCGAUAUUUUUCUCCGAUUAACGAUAACAAUAUCAAGUUUCCAUCCCGGUACAGCCUUAUCACUGGUCGAGUUCCAAUAUUGACGAACAUCAGAUACAGACGACAACCGAACAUAGUCGUAGAAAUAUAUUCCCAUGGAUUACAUAGAAGUAACAGUCAUAGUUAUAACAGUAAUAGUUGUAAUCAAACACUGAUAUCGUCGACAAAUUAGAAAAUAUCAAAUUGUUUAUCAAUAGAGUAUAUCAGAAAUUGUAGAAAAUUCCAAGUUAAAUAAAGAAUUCUUUCCCCACAAUGGCUCUGUAUUCAUUUUACCAGUUUCACGAGGGUGGCUGAUAGUUCCUCGUCGAUAUUGGUCCCGAUCGAUGUUUGUAUGCGGUGACAGGAUUAUGUUUGACUCAACGAAUCAGUGCCAGGGCCAUUUGUCACUUGGAGAUUAAAUAGAGAGCCCAACUGUCUUCGAGAAGCGCACGAGGCAUGGUACAAGGGUGAUUAUUAGACGUCUCUGCUUCGAUGCCACCCCCACUAACUUGUACCCGAUUCUUUUUUCUCUGCUAGCGUUACAACCCCCGUGGAGAUAAGACAUCUCGACGAGAGGAUCCUGGUCCCUGGUCGUUGAAUUAGCAUGCGUCAGUCGCGAUGAUAUUUUUCACGGUGAGACACGUACGGUUUCCUCGACAAAUUGUUGCCGUUUAUGGGCUCCAGAUGGAUAUUUGCAUGAGGGGUGAGGGAGCUUGAAGGUUGCUGCGUUUUCUCUGCCUACCGCGUUCGCUUGAAAUCACCUAUGGCGGUCGGUUUGCUUGAAGGGUAAUUUUUAUUUUCCAAGGUGAAAUUAAUGAAUUUAACGAAUUUUGUUGCUUUGUAAUUAGGUUGACUUUUUCAAAUGCGAAUUCACAACACUUUUUAUUGUCUGUUUCAAGAGAAUUAAUGAGAAAUGAUCAAAUAAAAAAUGAAAUAUAAUACAUACAUAAGUAGUAUUAUAUUAACCAACAAGAAAUAUAAUAAGUUUCCCUUAUGAUUCUAGGAAUUUAUUAAUAUUACAAAAUUGCUUAACAAGACUGUUUUCGAAGUAAUUGAAACAUUUUCAAGUGAAGCUAAGAUGACCUAGACACUAGAAAAAUUCUAGUUCAUCUUGAAUAAGAUAAGGAGGAGCUGAUAAACUCGAGUACUCACACAAACGUUGCUGCAUUUUUUAGUUUCCUCUUAUCUAGAGUUUCUAAGUUACUCGGCGGCCUGUUUAGCUUUUCACUAUGAAAUAGUAUGCUUGAAAUAGUCAAGCUUGAUUUAGAAACCAGAAUAAAAGCAGAAAUAAAUAUUUUGAAAAAUUGUAUAAAAUAAUUGGAAGUUGUAAUUUCUUCUUAUUAAAUACAAUUUUUUAAAAAAUAAUAAAAAAGAUAUCAUACACUCUAUGUCCAUAUUAAAUUAUUUUUUAAAGCAAAACAUACUCCCAGAUAAUUUUGUUUAAAAUCAAAAUCACAAUGAAACAUCCCUCACACACCCCGAACUCUCACGUUCAAUUUCACCCUUUAUCUGCAGUAUCAUUUUUUUUCAAACAUUUUUCUGUUCACAUGUCAACGCGUAACCAAACUAUUCUCUUUUUUUUUUUGUUUCAAUUCGAGGUGACAUUCAAAACAGUUCGACAUUUCGAAAAGUUUCGGCGGCCCAGCAUCUGCCCGUUUUUCCACGCGCAAUGCACGUACAUGUACGGCCCUAACAAAAAUCACGCACGCGAAGAUGGGGUGCAUAAAUUAUGGUGAACGCCAUCUUUCUCCUAUGGCGUGCCGAUUGGACGAACGAAAAAAAUCCAUCCCUCGGCUGAAAUGCUCCUACACGCACGGGCCCCGCUUUUCACCCCAAAUAUGCGAAACAUCGUGGCCGUCCGCGCCAUUUUCCUUGCACGAUUUCAACCCACGAUUUCAGUGGCAUGCGAUUUACAAACAUCGUUAUUGCGCUCGAUUAAACGACCGAGUGAAGACUGUAAGAUAAAUGCAACUCGGUUGCUCCAGUUACAAUGAUAUUUUUUAGAAAAAAAUUGAUGCAUCAAGGGUGGAAAGGGGUAAGUAAGAGGAACUGAUAUGAUUAACCCUUAAAGAACAGGCAGACCUUUUUUAUAACUUUUACAUUUUCAAAUUAGAACUUCUAUAAAUGUGUUAAAAUAUUUUAAAUAGUACAAUAACGAAAACAGAGAAAUUGCAUGAAACCUUUAUAGAUUAAAUAACAAGAUUGAAAUAAUCGGAAAAUGGUAUUAGCAUUACAAAUUCAAUAACAGAUGUUCCAAACUGAGCACCUACAUUAUAAAAUAAGUAUUUCUAUAAGUAGUUUGAUUUCUGAGAAAUCCGACUUAAUACCUCAGGAAUUAUUAAAAAUGUAAUUACUAUAAUCAUACAUAGGCACAUGCAAUAACUUCAAUUUCCCAUACGAGAUUGCUAUAUUUUAUUUUACUAAUGACGUCCACGAGCUGGAAUUAUAUUAAUUAUUAAUUUAUUUGAAGUGGCCUAUAAUGGACAAAUUUUCAAUUGAAAGUUGCUAGUGAAAAUUUAAAUAAUAAAGUUAUCUAUAAUAAAGUAAAAAAAAAGGAAAGAAAAACACCCUCUCGUGUUAAAUUUCUUCCUAUAGAAUUAUCUAUAUUCAAAUUGCUCUGUCAGUUUCGAUCCACCUUGUGUAAUAAUAGUUUGAAUACCACUUUGGAAUCUUGGUAAGCUUAAACUUGCAUUAGCGCAAAUCCUGUUAAUGAACUAAAACUCAGAUUGCCGUCCCCGUUUAUCCCGUGAAAGGCAAAUGUUUCUUCCGGUCGCGGUGUCCCGCGAGGGAACUUGUUCCGUGAGCGCUAGAGGAUCGUCACGUUUGGGGAUGCUCUUUGCAACUGUGUGCACCUGGCGCGAUUGCACAUUCGACGAAAAUUGCACUGCAUUAUGCUUCAUGACGCCGGGACGCGGCGGUGUGUUGCAGCAACUUUGGUCAUUGAACUGUGCUAGACAUGUGGCGCAAGUUUGCAUGUACAAGGUGUUCAACAAUUGAGAAUAACCUGAGACCGAUAUUAACCCUUUCAUUGCGCUCAACGUACACCCCUGGCCAAAAGUAUUAAGACACCUGCUGAUUUCACACAAUACUUGAUAUUUCAACCAGAUUACACAUUUUUUGUUACUUUCAGUAGCAAAAACAUCUAUUCAGGUAUUAAUAUUUAUUAUUUAGAAAAUCAAUUUUUCACGGUGUUUCUUAAUAAAAAAUUGCAGCAAUUCCCAAAAUAAAAAUUUUUACACUAAUUUAAAGAAUUUAAAAGAAAAUCGACAAAGUCUCCAUUUGACUAAAUGUACCUAUCUUUCUUCAGACCUAAGAACUGAAUUCUGUAUUGUCACGGUGGUCCAUCGUACGGGUAAUGGCGGUGUCACGAGCGUCACCCCAUAAAAGGGAGAAAUAAAAAAGGCAAAGGAAAGAGCGAAAGGCAGACGAUGUCCGGCGAUAUCUCGAACGGCGGAACGCGACGAUAGUUAUGAAUCGAUGGACAAUGCGAGCGGGUUAUCGGACCCGCGAAAUUAUCGCUUCAGGGACGCGAACAAAUUGGCCGAGCGAUAUUUAUAAAUUACACUUCGUGCUGGCCCGGCCUUUUGUGUUUUCAGACGACCGUUGCCCGACGAUUUUGUUAUUUAUUAACGGCGAUAGCGCUGUAAAUCUUCGAGUUUAUCGUGCAUCCAUAAAUUUCGGCUCUUAUUACGAUCGAUCCGACGCUUUUAAGUACGCGCGGAAUGUGAACGAAUUUAACAUACGUGCUCGUCGUUUUGUUUCGUUUAAUGGCAAAUUUCUUUCACCCUUCGUUACUCGUAUCAUUCGAAUAUCUUAUGGUGUUCUUACGGAUAAAGAAGAUUAAAAGUUCAAUGUAUUCUUCUUAUACAGAAUACGUUACUGCAUAAAAAUGGUAAGACACUUAUUACAUUUAUUAAAUGUCAGGGAUUGUUAAUUACGGUUAUAUGAUGAUGUAUUUUUAAUUUUACCACAAAUUACGACUGUAAUUAAAUAAUGGACCUACACUGAACAUCGCGAUUAUAAUAGUUUCUUAUAUUGAGGAUAACAUCUAAUUAGCCGAUGUUUCAAGACAAAAAGAAUAAUUAGCAGCUCUUAAAAAAGAAAAAUACAAACAUAAUCACAUUCAUGGCAAUUAAUUAAUAUUUCAUGAUACCUCUUCCAUAUACCAUAUAUUAUUAAGUAAUAAAAUUACCUAAUUCGUAUCACCUCAGUUAAAAGGAGCAAAUAUUAAAACAUUUAUCAAAGUACUUAUUAUCAUAUCAAAAGAAUUUAAUUGAAGUCAUAUACAACUUAAAUGAACAUUAUCCCCGCAUAUUAAUGUGAAUUUAAACCCAGAACACAGUAGAUAAAUGUAAAAAAACCCAUAGUUUUCAGUCGCAGAAAUGAGAUGUAUCUGCUAGUAGCUUUAAGCGUGCAAGCGUGUACACGCGUGGAGGCUUGCAUUUCCCUCGCAGGAAGUCAAAGCAACUGUGGUCGCGACGCGCUAAUGGAAAUCGUAAACAUUAAUUAGCAGAAUGGCCGUGGCCCAUGCACCGAGAAAUAGGAUUCUGAACUACGACUCAGGAUCCGUUAUUCCUGUGACGUGGAUCCAUCGAUCCACGAUCAUGGAUGAUCCUAAUGACGUAUGCUGUUUGAAUGAAGCCUGAUUGCUGGCUAAUCUCAGUUGAUGACGUGAAAUUAAUACGAAACAGACAUUGCUUUUGAAACGUUCUAUGUAGGUAUUAUUUUUCGAAAAUUAGAACAAUUGAAUAAGGACAAUGAAGACCAUCUUUUUCAAUUUUAUAUGAAUUGACCCGUUUCCAAUUUUAUCAUGCUUUCAAAAAAUAUGCAUUCUCAAGAAAGUGGUAUAAUAUUUAGCAUUCUCCAGCAAUCGCCAGACUAAUUUUAAUCUCAAUUACCACCGCUGUAUUUUUGUACAGAAACCUCGAAAUGGCACAUGCAGUUGGGUCAUCUCUGAAUAAUCGAUCGCCUCCAAAACCGACCAGAAUUUAUAACUGGACGAUUUCUCUUCGUCUCGAUAAACUUGUAUAAUCGCGCAAUAUGGUUAUAUCGAUUUGCCAUAAAACAAACGACUGUUCUGUCCCGGCGAAAUACCGCGAAAAUAACUCGCUACGUUUCGUUUAACUCGCCGCAGAUCGUCGCGAUAAAAUCGCUUAUAGAAUUCAACUACCUGUCGCGUUCACGUAAAAAAACAAAAAAUAAAAUAAAAUAAAAUAAAAUGAAAAAUCAGAAAAAAAUAGAAACAGCAGAGAGAGCGAAAGUUCUAAAGCAAAGGUAUACACGAAUCGAACAAUACAGUAUAUUUCAUUUAAUCAUAGUGUAAAUCAUUUAGUUAAACGAUUUGAUUAUAUCGACCAAUAAUUGCCUAAUGGAAAUAUCGUUUAAACGCUAAAAAUGCAACUAAACAUGUUUUGAUCUGUAUUCAAAUUUAAGAACUAUUUUUUAAUCGAUAUUAACAAAGGUUUGCUUCAGACAGAAUCAAUAUAAACAAUUCAAAUUUUUAUCAGACUUCGCUAACGUAUCAACUUUGCAAAUAUCGCAUUCGUCACCAGACGGCGUGUACACAAAACGUUUAAAAAGACAGUCGCAUCAGAAUUUUGGCAGCAAGCUUUCGCUACGACAGCUCUUUUAAAGAAUGUUUCUAUUUCCAAUCUGCAUAUCUCGUACUAGAUUUCCUUAGACUUUAGAAAUAGAAGUGUUUUUUAAUAAAUUAAUAUUAGAAUGAAUAUUUCAAAAUUUUUCAGAAAUCGACCAAGAAAUCAUUUCUACUCCUAAUAGCAUUUCCAGUUUCUCAGUUUUAUUGUUUUCAACUUGGGCUGCGUAUAAAUGGCUCCGCGGUUUAGACAGUGUUAAUGUUUUGCUGGUCGGCGUUGUUUUCGCACUAUAAACAGUUCGUCGACUCCGCGGUUUCGCGUCGACAUGGCUAAACGUUUCGUCAUCCGACGCGUCUGAUUUCCGGGAGAGGAUGCUAUCUAUCGCGCGUACGUCCAUUUCGUCAACACCAUGCCACCACCUUCUCCUAGUCCUUUUUUUCUCCGACUUCCCCCCUUCCUCUUUUGCUUUUUUCGUACCCCGACGAUAACACGGUUCGUCGCUCGAUAAACCUAUCGUCGUUGACGCCCUCCGGACUCGCCGCUUCCCGCGAGCGGAGAUUCGAUACCGGAUGCUGACCAUGAAACUGAGAAGUUUGACCAUUUUAAUGGCGAACAUUGCGAUUAUAUUCGCGUAUUUUUAUAUCAGAACUACCGAAAAAUAACCGGAGAAUGGAAAACAAAAUUUGAUUAAAAGAAACAGCGGAAUAUAAUUUUGUAAUGAUAACAAACAGAAAUAUUGCAUUCGGAAUUGCAAUCGAGUUAGAUAUCCGGAUCAGCGAAAGACCGUUCCUUCCUGCGGUUUAACGCGUCCGUCCGCUCAUGAAUCCUUGGAACUCCCUCGGGAACACUGAAGAUCCGGCUUUUGAGCGGUUUGGACGGACCGUAUGCAGGAAAGUAAUUAUCUCGUGAUUAUUCGAGCGGACGUCGCCGCAUUUCGACGUGGUUAGCGGCAUCGGCAGUUCAUUUAUCAUGCCGUAGAUUUUAACAAGAAGAAACUUGCGGCGAGGAUGGGGUCAGACUGUUAAAUGAACCGAACGAGAUCCACAUACGUAGAUACAUACGUGCAAUUUCUUUAAAAGCACAGGGAUUAUUAAUUUUAUCAAAUGAACCCUUCAAUUGGCACCCUGCAGUAUUUUUGCAUCAAAUAAAAUUAUUCCAAUUUCUUAAAAAUGCAUUUUUUUAAAUGGGAAAGCAUUUAUUUCAAAGAUUCAAUAAGAUUUUCUAAAACAAAAUUCUUAAAAAUUAACAUCCUUUGGCCCUCUAGAAUAGACAUACCAUUUUGGAAAAUGAAAAUAUAACAAGAGGAAUGAUUUAAAAGUAAAAAUGUUGAAUAAAGACAGCACAAUAAAACGAUGCACUUUAAUUCGAUGACCUGAAUCAAAAGGUGAAUCAGAGUAUUAGUACUACUAUCAUUAAUAUCAUGGUUUAAUGUUGGAUCUCUUAGAUCCCCCCUAAUGAUUACUUCCAAUCCUGUUGUAUCAUUAUUAAUAUUGGAUCUCUGAUUCCAAAUUCGAUUCGUCUUCGAGGCUACAAGGCGAGUAUAACUGUGAAAGAAAGGAUUGGUAGAAGAUAGAGAUCUUGGAGGAUAGAUCGCAGAACGAACCGUCCCCUUUGAUAUCUACGUUUGAUGAUCGACGGCCACACAGAGAGACAGAUUACAGCGGAAACAAACGAGUAGCCGGAGGCAUCGAUCAAAUCACUGAUACACCGACGAAAAGUUCUACAUAUGUAAAGCUUUGAAAAAAAAAAGGGUUGAAAAGGUUACCACUAGAAUAAAAAAUAAAUGCACGUUUAACCUUGUCUGGAUCAUUUCUCGACAAAUAUUUACAUAAAAGUGUGAUUUAUUUUAUAGGAUAUUUAAGAAAACUUUAAUUC